CUGACUGACCGCCAGCAUGGGUAGGCGCUCGUCCGACAGUGAUGAUGACAGCCGAAGCAGGAGAAAAAAGAAACAGCGUCGCCGCUCGUCUUCCUCUUCUUCUUCUUCGUCCUCUUCCUCUGGCAGCAGAGUGAGAAGUAGCCGCAGUCGGAGGUCCAGUCGCCGCCGGAGCCGCUCUCGCUCCAGAGACAGGAGGAGGAGAAGACGUUCCAGCAGCAGUUCGUCUCACAGUUCAUCUCGCAGGAGGAGGAGUCGAAGCGCAGAGAGAGACAAAGGGAGGAGCCACCGUUCACACAGGUCACGCAGCCGGGACAGGAGGUCUCAUUCUCGCCACCGGCGGUCUCGAAGUAGGAGCGGGAGCCGCAGCCGUCGAGGUACCCACAGCCGCAAAAGGAGCCGCAGCCACAGCAGGGACCGGGACCGGAGCCGGCGCAAGGGCCGUGACCGGGAGAGGGAAAAAGACAAGGAGAGAGGACGGGACAGAGACAAGGACAAAGAGAAGGACAAGAGUAAAGAGAAGGCAGAGAAAAAGGGGUAA
rnacentral:lncRNA from 1 species